rnacentral:rRNA from 1 species
CUCCCAAACCCCUGUGAACAUACCACUUGUUGCCUCGGCGGAUCAGCCCGCUCCCGGUAAAACGGGACGGCCCGCCAGAGGACCCCUAAACUCUGUUUCUAUAUGUAACUUCUGAGUAAAACCAUAAAUAAAUCAAAACUUUCAACAACGGAUCUCUUGGUUCUGGCAUCGAUGAAGAACGCAGCAAAAUGCGAUAAGUAAUGUGAAUUGCAGAAUUCAGUGAAUCAUCGAAUCUUUGAACGCACAUUGCGCCCGCCAGUAUUCUGGCGGGCAUGCCUGUUCGAGCGUCAUUUCAACCCUCAAGCACAGCUUGGUGUUGGGACUCGCGUUAAUUCGCGUUCCUCAAAUUGAUUGGCGGUCACGUCGAGCUUCCAUAGCGUAGUAGUAAAACCCUCGUUACUGGUAAUCGUCGCGGCCACGCCGUUAAACCCCAACUUCUGAAUGUUGACCUCGGAUCAGGUAGGAAUACCCGCUGAACUUAAGCAUAU